rnacentral:rRNA from 1 species
AACUCUCAACAACGGAUAUCUUGGCUCCCAUAACGAUGAAGAACGCAGCGAAAUGCGAUACGUAGUGUGAAUUGCAGAAUUCCGUGAACCAUCGAAUCUUUGAACGCAAAUUGCGCUCGAGGCUUCGGCCAAGAGCAUGUCUGCCUCAGCGUC